rnacentral:rRNA from 1 species
GACGAACGCUGGCGGCGCGCUUAACACAUGCAAGUCGAGCGAGAACCAGGCCUUCGGGCCUGGGGACAGCGGCGAACGGGUGAGUAACACGUGGGUAAUCAACCCUCGGUACUGGGAUAGCCCGGGGAAACCCGGAUUAAUACCGGAUGGCCCUUCGGAGCUUCGGUUCCGAAGGAAAAGGUAGCUUCGGCCUCCGACCGAGGACGAGCCCGCGGCGGAUUAGCUUGUUGGUGGGGUAACGGCCUACCAAGGCGGCGAUCCGUAGCUGGUCUGGGAGGACGAUCAGCCACACUGGGACUGAGACACGGCCCAGACUCCUACGGGAGGCAGCAGUGGGGAAUCUUGCGCUAAUGCGGGAAACCGUGACGCAGCGACGCCGCGUGAGGGAAGAAGGCCUUCGGGUUGUAAACCUCUUUCAGGAGGGACGAAGCUACUCGGGUUAAUAGCCCAGAGGGUGACGGUACCUCCAGAAGAAGCCCCGGCUAACUACGUGCCAGCAGCCGCCGUAAAAC